AGAGUGAUGUCGGCGUGACUGACAGCUGUUCCGCCUUACGGGCAGAUGUGGGAGCUCCGAGCCAGAACAAUGGCUUGGAGGAGGCUUGCGCCAGACCUGGGGGGAGGGGAGGGAGCAGCUCGGCUGGCCAAAGGGCUUGGGAGGGGCCUGGAGCCCACGACAAGCCUGGCCGAGGUUCCGCCUUGGAAAAGAAGGGCCCUGACCUCGGGCUGCCGGCCCGGCCCCGGGAGCGCCGCCCGGCAGAGAGCAAAGCUCUGCUGGAUCUUUCCAGGGGAGGCCACUUUCAAAGCACAGGGGGACAAAAGGGCCUCCUCCUCAUGCCCAGGUUGCUAG
rnacentral:lncRNA from 1 species